rnacentral:rRNA from 1 species
GGAUAAAAGGUACUCCGGGGAUAACAGGCUGAUACCGCCCAAGAGUUCAUAUCGACGGCGGUGUUUGGCACCUCGAUGUCGGCUCAUCACAUCCUGGGGCUGAAGUCGGUCCCAAGGGUAUGGCUGUUCGCCAUUUAAAGUGGUACGCGAGCUGGGUUUAGAACGUCGUGAGACAGUUCGGUCCCUAUCUGCCGUGGGCGUUGGAGAAUUGAAAGGGGCUGCUCCUAGUACGAGAGGACCGGAGUGGACGAACCUCUGGUGUUCGGGUUGUGUCGCCAGACGCAUUGCCCGGUAGCUAAGUUCGGGAUCGAUAACCGCUGAAAGCAUCUAAGCGGGAAGCGAGCCUUGAGAUGAGUUCUCCCUGAUACUUUAAGUAUCCUAAAGGGUUGUCGUAGACUACGACGUUGAUAGGCAGGGUGUGUAAGCGUUGUGAGGCGUUGAGCUAACCUGUACUAAUUGCCCGUGAGGCUUAACCAU